ACAAUGUAGAAAUGAAAACAAUGUAGACGAAGUAAACUCGAUAUCAAAUCAACAUUGUUUACAUUGCGAAGUCGACAAUGUCGACAUACAAUGAAAAAAUUAACAAUGUAAACGUUGUAAAAGCAAUAUCGCAUCAACAUCGUAUACACUCCAAUGUCUUCAUAAUGAAUAAAAACAAUGUAGACUAUCUAAUUACAAUAUCGUGUUAACAUUGCGAUGUCGACAAAAUCGAACUGAUAAAGUGCACUGGACAUGAAUGGAUAUGUUAAGUCUGUUUGCAGAAAUGAAAAAAGAAAUCCCGAAUUGUAGCUAAAUCACAAUAUAAUAAUUCUUAGAUUUCGACCUUGAUGUUUCUCAAUUUUCAUAAUUUAGUGCUUGUUCGGUUGGUUGGAAGAACUUCCGCUAGCGAGGGACGAGUGGAGAUUUACCACUCCGACAUGUGGGGGACAAUCUGUGAUGAUAUCUGGAACGACUUUAAUGCAAGAGUUGUUUGUAGAAUGCUGGGAUACUCGGGAUCUUACACUGCCUACCCACUGGCUUAUUAUGGGCAAGGUACAGGACAGAUCUGGUUGGACGAUGUGAGCUGCUCAGGAUCAGAAUCCUCAAUAUUCUCCUGUAGUCACCUAGGAUGGGGGGUUCACAACUGUGGUCAUCACGAAGACGCAUCCGUCAAGUGCACUUAGACACCGAGGAGAUCUUUGGAUCACAAAUUCGUUAUUUUU